GGACCCAGAUUUGAUGACAAACCAAUGUCACAAAGAUAGGUGAUUACAUAAAAAUCAUAUUCAAUAUGAUUAUGCUGAAGCCC
ensembl:snoRNA SNORD115 Small nucleolar RNA SNORD115